rnacentral:lncRNA from 1 species
GGAAACUGGAUGUUCUCCUAAAACAGCCACCUAGCCAAGCUGAACCAACAGAGAUGUAUUGAUCACCGGGUCAAUGGAACUAGGUGGGUGCUGGGGGGAAAGUCAGCAGGUAAGUCAGGUGAGGACUGCCUCCCUUCCACUCCCCACCCAGAGACUGAAGACAGACAGACAGACAGAGGCGUUCAUUCAGAAAGAAGUAGGAGGGCUUCAGGGAUUCAGCGGAGGAGACUGAAAGCCUGAGAGACGAUGCCUCUGAGAAGGUUACAGACCUUGGGAGAAAGCGCUUUCACCUCCUCACCACAGACACUCUCGACUGUGGACUCAGGACACUAAGCCAGAAAGGUGACGAUUUCCUUCUUGAACCCGGCCUGCAUCAGCAGCUCAGACCCAGGGCUCCGGGUCCUUUGCUCUAUGUCCAGUGCUCUUUUUGCUCCCUCACACACUUAGCGAUGGCAGUGUUCUUAGUAUACUCAAAGAGCUUUGUAAUGAAUUAGAGCAGCCAUUCCCAACCUUCCUAGUGCUGCGGUCCUUUAAUACAGUUUCUUAAGUUGUGGCGAACCAUCCCCCCCACCCCCAACCAUAACAUUAUUCUUGCUGCUGCUGUUAUGAAUCGUAAUGAAACAUUUGAUCUGCAGUACAUCUGAUAUGUGAUUCCCGAGAAAGGGCCAUCAUAUUCCAAGGGAUCGGGACCCACAGCGUGAGAAGCCCUGAACUAGAGAUCCGCCUAAACUGAGAAACAACCUAGCACCUAUCCCAGCCCAUCAAUGUUGUAUAUGGCAACAGAUUCAAAAGCCCAGACUAAAACAUACUCACCAUCCAUGUUACCAGCUCUCACCAUGGGGCAGCAAUGUGGAUUUAGUAAGCAUAGCCCACGGGCACUCAUUUUGAAGACACUAGGAGAACUUCAAAGCCAGGUUUGUUCUUCUGCCUCUGGUGACAUUUUUAAAAUUUCAGCACUGUUUUUUUUUUUAAUUGAUUCUUUGUGAAUUUCAUAUCAUGCACCUCAGUCCUGCACAUCUCCUGUCCCCUCCCUCCCUCCAACCUCCACCCUUCCCCAACAAAGAAAAAUAAGUCCCCACUAUGGAAGCUGUAGUGUGCCAUCGUGUGUCCUUUUGUCCACACUUCUUUGCUUGCAAGUGCUCAUUGCAUUGACUUUGUUGGUCUGGUACGAGUCAGGCCUCUGGCUUCUGCUAUGCUAACGAUGCUAGAACCUUACUGAGACUCCUCUAGGGUAGACUGUUGUCACCCCGUGUGUCAUGGAGACCCUGUAGUUUUGGAUCUGCAGGACUGGCUUCUUCACGUACUCCAGCAGUUCAUUGAUGGGAUAGACGUGGGGUGGGCUAACUCAAAGCCCUGGAUCUGGGCCUGAGAGGUGUCUGAGCUGCUCAGCCCACCAGCUCUCCAGUUCUUGUGGCCUUUGGAUUGGCUCGCCAGCAACCCCCUCUCCCAGGGCUAGCUCUCCUGGCUGACCAGGUCGGUCCUUAUAUUUGCUUUAGGAACCUGACAAGACUGACUAGCCAUCUCUAGCAUUCAGAUAGGUGGAACUUCAUUGUGCUGAAGUUAUGUUUGAGCACCCUCUGCUGGACAAAUCAGGUAAGUACAGGAUUUUUUUUUUUUUUUUUGGUCUUGUGCCUUUUAAAUUCAUGCUCCGAAGAAGAGAAGAUUUUUAUCUCGAAUCUACACUAAAAGAAGUCUCCUCUUUAAACAGAUGCUCUAUGACUACCAACAAUGUACCAGUGGUAUUCGUCUCUUGCAGAUCUGGAAGAAAAUGAAAUUUAGGUACAUACAGUCACGAACAGAUACCUAGAUGACACAUUUAAAACCCUCAAACACAGUGGAGAUGAGACCAGCAUAAUAUUAAGCUCUUCUCCCUCACAAACACCUGUGCUACCCACACUCACAGGCAAAAAAAAUAUACACAACUGCCAGACUGCAAUGCCUCCCAAUUUAUUGGCCAAAUCUAGAUUCUGCUAGCCCUGUAUAUUCACUCAGAAAGCCAGGCUUCAGACACACCAUGAGUGAUGAGAAAUCCAUUUCAUCAGCAGAGGCAUCUUGCCUAUCUUCAGGAAGCCUACAGACUUCCAGGGAAGCAGGGGGGAAAUCAAGACGUGUCUGACUAUGAGCUGGGGUAAGGGAAGCCUCCGUGUGAAGAUGUGACCUAGUUAGGACAGCUGCCGGAAAGCAGGACUGGCAAGCUUGGUGGUUUGUACACCGGGCCUUGGGAGACUUGGGACACAAACACGAGGUCUUCUGAGGAUGUUUGUGAGUUGCUGGGUUACACAAAAAGAUUCUAGCUCAACAAGCAAAGAAGCGAAGGGGAGGGAAGGGGAGGAAAGGGAGGAGAAGAAAGGAAGUGGGAAGAGAAAAUGGGGCCAAGAAAAGCCCCAAACAUCCCAUAAGCACCCAGAACAGUGUCCCCACCGCGAACCAACCGGGAACCAAAGUGUUCACACCAGAUGAGCUCGUGGAAGGGCUUUUUGCCAAUUGUUCAUGGGUCCCCAGUGAUGAUGGAAUAUUGCGACUUACGUUUCAACCGUUUAAAAAUUUACUGUUAUUAUUUAUGCAUUUCAGUGUUUUGUCUGUUACACGCUCUGUAACUCCAGUUGCAGAAAAUGUAAAACUUUUCUGCCCCCUCCCCCUCCGGCAACCGGGCACAGACAUUUACGGGAGGCUGUGGCUACUUUAGGAGAUGUGAGCGAGCAGUCUCCUUCCUGCUGCUGCAGCUGCAAGCUGCUCCUGCCGCCCAUGCCUUCUCUACUGCCAUGCCUUCCCUACCACAAGGGCCAGAACUCUCACACUGAAAGCCAGAAUAAAUCCUUCCUCUCUUCGGUUGGUUGUUGUCAGGAGAAGGCAGCAGCUGGCAUCAAUGGUGUGGUGAGGAGAGAAUCAAGUUUCCUUCUCCAGUUCAAACAGACGAAAGUGAAGCGACAUAGGCUCAAGGACAGGGUCACUGGGCUAGCGCCACACCAUGGAGCCAAACCCCGAGCCUUCUAAAUUGUGAGCUGGGCAUGGUGGUUCACCCCAGGAAUCGCAGCACUGAGGGAUGAAGGCGAGAGAGUCACUGUGGGUGUGACAUCAGUCUGGCCUGAAGUCUGAGACUGUUUUUUUAAAAAGAAAACAUUUUUUUAUGUCAUAUAUUUAAUUAUAUAAAGAUUCUGUUGUUUUGUUGUUGUUGUUGUUAAAAUUCAGCCAGGAAAUUUCCAUCUGUCUGGUGUUAAUUGGUUGUUUUUCAGCACUAAUUGGGAAAUGAUAUAUUUUUAUUGUUUUAUAAAUAGAGUAAAACCCCUCAGAAACUGCUGGGGAAAUUUAAACAAGGAAAGCAAUUCUAUGUCCUUGCUUGACACCAGUUUGUCCCAGAGGUGACACAACUGUGUAGUUUUUGAAAACACUGGGCAUUUAUAUAUAUAUGAGACAAAACCCCACUGUAUAGCCCUGGCUAACUCGAAACUCACUAUGUAAAUCAGGCUGGGCUUUGACACACAGAGCUCUGCCUUUGCCUACUCAGUGUUGGGAUUUAACACCCACACCACCAUAGCCAGCCUUCUCUCCAAGGGGCAAAUUUCUUUCUGAAGCAACUUCCUCAUUUAUUAACAGUAUUGCUUCCAGACCCCGUGUGUGUGUGUGUGUGUGUGUGUGUGUGUGUGUGUGUGUGUACAGAUAUGUGUUUGCAAGUAUUUAGACACAAGUUGAUGCAGACUACACCAGUUUCAUGAAAUUGUUCCCAUGUCAGUGGCUAGUCUGAGCCUUUUGUACUUGUAAACAGCUGGCUGUAAACUGGGGAUUCCCAUACUCUCCUCUUCAGCCCCAUAAUUAUCAUGGUGAUUUGCAACCUGUAGGUAAUGACCCGUUUGGCUCAUAUAUCAGAUAUUCUGCAUGUCAGAUAUUUAUAUUUUGAUUCAUAACAAUAGUAAAAUUAUAGUUAUGAAGUAGUAAUGUAAAUAGUUACACUGUGGGGGUCACCACAACACGAGGAACUGUGUUAAAUGGCUUCAGCAAUAGGAAGGUUGAGAGCCACUGAUUUAUUAGGUCAUUUCAUGGAUCGUGGGGAUGCUUUCUACUUUCAUCUAUUGUUUAUUACAAAAGAUGUAGACAGACAGAUAGAUAGACAGACUCACAGAUAAAUAGAAAAAUAGAUGACAGAAAGAUAGAAAGUUAGGUAAAAAGAUAAAAAGAUAGGUAGAUGCUAGAAAGAUAGAUAGACUCAAAGACAAAUAGAAAGAUAGAUAAUAGAGAAAGGUGGAAAGAAAAAUAGAUAGAUGAUGGAAAGAUAGGUAGAUAGACUGACAGAAUGA